AUGAAAUCCAGCAGUUUACAAACUUCACCGGACUACCAAAGGCAUUUGAAGAUUAAAGACUCCUGUUUUGAGGCUUUAUGUUGCAGAGAGUUUAGAUUGGUAGAGGGGACUUCUUCACUGGAUUAUCUCUAUACCAAUCAAAUCAGAUGCUAUAACUAGGCACAUACCAUAAAGAGCUCAAUAAAAAAGGGAUGACUGGAGAAGAAGAGAAUUCAGCAAAGUCUAUGUUUUGUAUAAUAAAAUUGUAUUAAAAACCA
rnacentral:lncRNA from 1 species